rnacentral:rRNA from 1 species
GACAAUCAGAGGAGAAUGCACUGGUUUGCGUGGUGGAAGUUGUGUGUGCCAAAGAAAGAAGGUGGAAUGGGAUUUUGAGACAUUCAUUGCUUUAACCUAGCCCUGCUUGUGAAACAGGCUUGGAGAUAAUUUGAUAAUCCGAAUUCCCUUUGUGCCAGUGGUCUCAAAGCCAAAUAUUAUAUAGAUUGUGAUAUUUUGAAUGCAACUCUGAAAAAGAGAGCCUCAUUCACAUGGCAAAGUAUUAUGUCGGGGGUGCAGACACUAAAAAGAGGUUAUAUAUGGAGGAUCGGUGAUGGUAGUCGGAUCAAUGUUUGGCGUGAUGAAUGGAUAUCCCUAACUCACCUACCAGGAAAGUGA